CAAGCAGCGGAGCGUGUGGUUAAUUCGAUGUUACACGAAGAACCUUACCAGGGUUUGACAUGCAAGUGGUAGGAAGCCGAAAGGUGACCGACCCUUCGGGGAGCUUGCACAGGUGCCGCAUGGCUGUCGUCAGCUCGUGUCGUGAGAUGUUCGGUUAAGUCCGCUAACGAGCGCAACCCUCGCUGUGUGUUAUAUGUGUCACAUGGGACUGCCGGUCUUAAGCCGGAGGAAGGUGGGGAUGACGUCAAGUCAGCAUGGCCUUUAUGUCCUGGGCUACACACACGCUACAAUGGCCAACACAAUAGGUUGCUAAGCCGCGAGGUGGAGCCAAUCCUCAAAGUUGGUCUCAGUUCAGAUUGCAGGCUGCAACCCGCCUGCAUGAAGAUGGAGUUGCUAGUAACCGCAGGUCAGCAAUACUGCGGUGAAUACGUUCCCGGGUCUU
rnacentral:rRNA from 1 species